GGCCGCUUGGCGUAGUGGUAUCGCGCUUGCUUUGGGUUUCACCGCUUCCUAUAGGGAGCGAACUCGAAAUGCAAGAGGUCACGAGUUCGAUCCUCGUAGCGGCCC